AAACCAUCCAUUGGACAUUUUCUAAUUAACUCCUUGAAUCAUUCCCAUGCUUCAUAUAAUGUUUUGUCCUCAGAUUGCCGAAAGGACGUGAUAUUUUUCCUAAAUUU
rfam:Gossypium raimondii chromosome 10, whole genome shotgun sequence.